AUGAUCAGUACUUUUAAAAAGGCGGCGUAAGCUGUCACUAUGGGAUGGCCCGCGGUGCAUUAGCUAGUUGGUAAGGUAAAGGCUUACCAGGCGAUGAUGCAUAGCCCGAGUUGAGAGACUGAUCGGGCCACAUUGGGGACUGAGACACGGGGCCCAAACUCCUACGGGGGGAGGGGGCAGCAGUAGGGGGAAUCUUCCACAAUGGACGCAAGUCUGAUGGAGCAACGCCGCGUGAGUGAAGUAAGGUUUUCGGAUCGUAAAGCUCUGUUGUUGGUGAAGAAGGAUAGAGGUAGUAACUGGUCCUUUAUUGACGGUAAUCAACCAGAAAGUCACGGCUAACUACGUGCCAGCAGCCGCGGUAAU
rnacentral:rRNA from 1 species